rnacentral:rRNA from 1 species
GAUGAACGCUGACAGAAUGCUUAACACAUGCAAGUCGAUGGGGAAGUGGCUCUUGCACCAUGGUAACCAUGGCGGACGGGUGAGUAACGCGUAAGGAACUUACCUGCUUGACCGGGAUAACAGCACGAAACUGCUGACAAGACCGGAGAAGGUCAUUAAUCUGCAUAGCUUAGUGAUGAAAGGAGGCGCCUGCGGAGAGCCUUGCGUCCUAUUAUCUAGUUGGGGGGGUAACGGCACACCAAGGCGAAGAUAGGUAGCCGGCCUGAGAGGGUGGACGGACACAAGGGGAGAGAGAUACGGCACUUACUCCUAGGGGAGGCAGGAGUGGGGAAUAUUGGAAUAUGGGGGAAACCGUGAUACAGAAAUUCUGUGUGCAAGAAGACGGUUUUCGGAUUGUAAAGUGCUUUCAGCAGGGAAGAAGGAAGUGACGGUACCUGCAGAAGAAGCGACGGCUAAAUACGUG